GAACCUUGGUGUAGACAAUGUUGAAAGGUAAAGUGGUAAUAGUCCAAAGACCAGGUGAAAGUGCAGUACUAGAAGUGUGUUGGCCCCAGCGAGAUUUGAUGCCAGAUAAAUGAUUUUCCGGACGUAUAGUAAUUAUUCCCUGAGACAAUAUUGUAUCCUGUCAUUGUUUUCACUAUCAAGUAAUCCGCAAAUUGGUAUGAUGGAGUCCAUCCGGGAACAGUGAAAUGUUAUAUAUGUUAAAGAAGAUUUUAAGAGCUUUCAUUGAAAUCAAGCUUUUAAUCCUAACAAGAAUUUAUUUCACAUACGUAUGCUUUUUAUUUUCAAGGCAAUGAAAUGCCUUAGUUAUAACAUCAGUAACAUGCAAACCGAUAUUUUAAAGGUAAUAUAAUUUGGAAAGGAUAAUCUGAAAUCCAGCGAAGUCGACUUUAUACCUAUGAUACUGAAUUUAUCAGGCUUCAACAGCCUCUCCAAGGGCAAUGUAAAAGUUGAGAUAACAGGUACCUCACAGAAUACCAGCAGCCUAUAAGGAAUUCCGAGUGCCAGCUUGUUUGGUGUUGCUGUCAUGGCAUUGCAACAUGCUCAUAUUUAGUCGAAAAUUAUCAAGCAAUGUAAGUGGGCCCAAUAUGACGCUCCAAAGCGUACCAGAGAGUGAUUAUCUCCACGUGACCUUAUUCCUCACACCUUCAGAUUACCUUCGUAUCCACGCACGAUAAUGCUGUGUGUCUGGUGUAUUAGUUGCCAAGUAAUGCAUUACAAGCUACUAAUAUCAAGCAUAUCACCACCGAAGACCUGUACUCACAGCAGACGCAACGAAUAGAACAUGCAUUGCAACAGAACAAGACAGCGAUGGCACGCGUGCCACAGUCGGCACGCAGAGGCUCAUCAGCCGUGACGCGACUAAAAUAUUACUUCCUUAAUCAAUAAUCUCAAUGAAAUUAUACUGUGUAAUUUAAAUAAAGUCUGUUCUUGAACGUUUCACUUA